GUGAUCACUUAUUUACACGCGUUGAAGACAGAUCUUCAAAAUGCACAAAGCAAGGAGUAAGAGCAGAAUGGAGCCCCACACCUCUGUGUGAACCAAUAGCAUGUAAACUACAACUGCCAGCGCUGAAAGGAACCAGCUAUGAACCUGUUCAUAAAAACACGUUCCAACCUGGUGACCAAGUGACAGUAAAUUGUGGAGAAAAGCACUGGAUUUUUAGUCAUCAAGAGGUCUCAGUAGUAACUACAUGCAAAGAGGAUGGAGAGUGGAAUAUCAGACCUGUAUGCCAAGAGGUUACGUGCAGCAAACGAGGAGUCCCACAUGUGUCUUGGCGCAAUCGUUGGCCGCAAACAUUCAAAUCGGGUGAGUGGACACGUUACCGUUGUGAGACAGGCUACAGGAGGAUAGAUGACAGGGACGACAGGGCCACAUGCACCCAAGAUGGAUGGCACCCAAAUCCACUUUGUCAAGGUAUUGUGAA